rnacentral:rRNA from 1 species
UACGUAGGCGGCGCGCUAAGUCAGUGGUGAAAGCCUCCCGCUCAACGGGAGAAAUGCCAUUGAUACUGGCGUGCUUGAGUACGGACGAGGUAGGCGGAAUUUAUGGUGUAGCGGUGAAAUGCAUAGAUACCAUAAAGAACACCGAUAGCGUAGGCAGCUUACUAGACCGUAACUGACGCUGAGGCACGAAAGCGUGGGGAGCGAACAGGAUUAGAUACCCUGGUAGUCC